rnacentral:lncRNA from 1 species
CCCAUUGCCCCCAAUUCAGCCUCUCUGUAUUUGCAAACUUCUUUAGAAACUCAACCAUCACCACUUGGAGAACCAAUGUUAUUCCGAUGAUGGCCAUGAACAACUUGUUCUUGUGUAUUCCCUUAAAGACAUUCUUCUCCUCCAGGUUUCGUGCGUUGAAUUCAUUGAACACUUGGCAAAGAACAAACGUGUUGAAAAACAACGUAUCGUUUACCUUCUUGCUAACACCAAAGAUUGAUUCUCCUUUGAAUUGUAAGGUUGAUAAAACAGCAAUCUGGUAUGAAGCUUGAGCCAUUAGAUUCCUCCACAUAAUAUUCGUGAUAAGUGGUGCUGUCCUACCGACUGGUUUCUUCUUCAUGACUUCCUCGGUUGGCUUCUCUGUAGCAAGUGCUAAUGCCCCUAAUGUGUCCAUGAUCAAAUUUACCCAUAGCAAUUGUACUGAUGUGAGUGGUUCCUCACCAGACAAAACAGCUGCUACAAAGCUGAUCAUGAGCGCGGCCACAUUUGCUGUGAGCUGAAAUUGGAUGAAUUUCUGGAUGUUGAUAUAGAAACAUCUUCCCCAUUUCAGAAUUGUGACAACUGAAGCAAAAUUAGCAUCUAAGAUGACAAUAUCAGAACUCUCUUUAGCUACUUCAGUCCCCUGAAUCCCCAUAGAAAGUCCUAUAUCUGCUUCCUUUAAAGCUGGUGCAUCGUUUGCUCCAUCACCUGUGACCGCAACCACAUGACCUUUCUUUCUCAAGCACUGCACCAUUAGAAGUUUGUCAAAAGGGGAUGAUCUUGCCAUCACGCAUAUCUUCUCCACUCUCUCCAUCCGUUCUUCAUCUGUGAGGCUGCGAAAUUCUUCACCUUCUAUGACUUCUCCUUCAUCUACUUCCUGAUUAGGAUGAAGAAUCCCACAUUCUGUUGCUAUGGCUUUUGCAGUGAAAACAUUGUCUCCAGUGAUCAUCUUGAUGUUCACACCAGCACUUUGGCAAGCUUCCACUGCUUUCUUCACACCUGGUCGACAUGGAUCUUUUAGGCCAACAAAGCCCAAAAGAAUGAAAGAGUUGUCUGGAACAUUUCCAUGCAUAUGUUCAUUAUCCUUCUGCUCAGCUUUUGGCACUUGCUUGUGUGCGAAUGCGAUACAUCUCAGGCUGCUGGCAGCCAUUCCUUCAAUUAUCCUGUCACAUUCUUCCUUAUCUGAUUCCUCUAGAGGUUUUACGUUCCCUUCUAGAUCAUAGUAAUGGGAGCACAUUCUUGAAAUCAUUUCAGCAGCACCUUUCCAAUGUGCAUGAAUUGUGCCAUCACUGUUGUUCUUGAUCAGGACACCACUCUUCUUUUUCUCUGAAUUGAAAGCUUCCACAUGUAGAAUGUUGAAAUUUCUUUUGAUUUGAUCCAUCUCCAUAUUCAAUUCCGUAACAGCCCAUGAAAGAAUAGCUUUUUCAGUAGGGCUGCCUGAGAACUCAAAGUUGGAAGAUGGAUCGGAGGACUUGAAAACACUACCUGUAGUGUUUAAUCCAACCCCUUGAUGGAAUAGUUCAAGAACUUUUGCCGAAAUUGAUGUAUGAAUUUCUGCCAUGGCUUUUGCAGUGAAAACAUUGUCUCCAGUGAUCAUCUUGAUCUUCACACCAGCAUUCUGGCAAUCUUCCACAGCUUUCUUCAUGCCAGGUCGACAUGGAUCUUUUAGGCCAAGAAAGCCCAAAAGAAUUAUAGAGUUGUCUGGAACAUUUCCAUGCAUAUGUUCAUGAUCCUCCUGCUCAGCUUUUGGCACUUGCUUGUGUGCGAAUGCAAUACAUCGGAGGCUGCUGGCAGCCAUUCCUUCAAUUAUCCUAUCACAUUCUUCCUUAUCUGAUUCCUCGAGAGGUUUUACGUUCCCUUCUAGAUCAUAGUAAUGGGAGCACAUUCUUGAAAUCAUUUCAGCAGCACCUUUCCAAUGUGCAUGAAUUGUGCCAUCACUGUUGUUCUUGAUCAGGACACCACUCUUCUUUUUCUCUGAAUUGAAAGCUUCCACAUGUAGAAUGUUGAAAUUUCUUUUGAUUUGAUCCAUCUCCAUAUUCAAUUCCGUAACAGCCCAUGAAAGAAUAGCUUUUUCAGUAGGGCUGCCUGAGAACUCAAAGUUGGAAGAUGGAUCGGAGGACUUGAAAACACUACCUGUAGUGUUUAAUCCAACCCCUUGAUGGAAUAAUUCAAGAACUUUUGCUGAAAUUGUUGUAUGACUUUCUGCCUUCACGUGCUGUAUGCCUAAGAAAAACUUUGUGACAGUCAUCUUGUUUAAUGUAAGAGUACCUGUUUUGUCUGUACAGAUGAUGGUUGCAGAGCCCAUAGUCUCACAAGCAGAGAGCUUCCUCACUAUUGCCUUAUCAUCCAUCAUUCUCUUCAUCAGGUAAGCCAGAGUAAGUGUAAUAGCUAAAGGUAAGCCUUCAGGAAUCGCGACAACAACAAUGAUAACAGCAUUAGCAACAAUUCCCACCACAGCAUUGAUCACAUCACCGGAUGAUGUCUUGCUCCGGUUGAAUUUUUUAUUCCCAUUCUCAUCUUUUGUGGUCCCGGUAAAGUAUAGUACCAAUUGGACAACAAAAACCAAGAAGGCAACUAACCAUCCAACUUUAUCAAUUGAUGAAGUGAGCUUUUCGAGUCGUUCUUGGAGAGGGGUGUGCUCGUUAGGGCCACUGCUAAUUUCGCUCAUCAUUUCACCCCAGGUCGUGUUCAUGUUAACCGAUGUCACAAGCAUCAUUCCAUAGCCAUCGACAACCUUAGUGCCAGAAAUCAAGAAUGGAUUUUGGCUGAUAUUAAUCUCUACAUGAUCACUUUCACCUGUCAUGCUAGAUUCAUCCACUUGUAAAGAAUGACCCUGUACCAAAAUCCCAUCAGCAGGGACUUGAUCUCCAAUCUUCAAGCAAAUGACAUCUCCAACCACAAUUUCAAAUAUUGAUAUCUGUUGGCGCCUCCCCUUUCUAACAGCUUCUACUUGAAUAAUUUUGGUCUCUUUAGAAAGCUUAUCAAACUGUCUGGUUUGUCUAAAAUGACUAGUAGACGAAACAGUGACGAAAAGUAACACAGCGACAUAAAUACCCCCUCCAUCACACCAUCCUUCUUUCACUCCAUCCUCCUUAAUUCCCAAUACAAUAGACAGAGCACCCCAGAUCAAAAGUACAAUGAUGGUGGGAUAUUUGAAUGAUUCCCAAACAAAAAUGAAGAAACUCUUAGCAGGUGCCUUACGAUACAUGUUGCUUCCAAAAGCCUCAUGUCUACGUGCAACGUCUUCUGGAUCUCCGCUUACACCAUUAGUUGUAUCAGUUUUGAGAGAAGCAGCAACACCUUGUACACCUCCAAGGUCAGCAAGUUCGUCAGUGUUUUUAUCUUUGACAAGCUUAGCUAGACUUGAGUGAUCAAUGCCUGAGAAAAAAGGGUGGUCUUGAACUACAUCAAUCGCGAUUGUAUCACCAAGUACUUUUGUUGGAUUGUAAGCAGGUGAUCCAUGACUAUAAGAUGGCACAAUGGCAGGUGAUACCUUAUUUUUAAAAGCUCUGGAACAGUAGAUGGUAGCAAACGCUAAGUGCCAUCUUUUUUUGUUGGAGGAUUCAAUUUCUGCUGGAAAAUCAGUUGUAAUAUUGUUCAUGCAGAGAUAACGCAAAUUUUCUUGAAACAUGUUGGAUGGAAAAUGUGUAUAAUAACAAUAAAUUAAAAGGAUAAAAAUAUCAAACAAUUGAUUGAAUGUGUUUUGGAGUGAAGUAGUAAUAAUCCCCUAAAGCUCAACCCGUCCCACACCACCCCAUUGUCAUCUCUACGCGUAAUCAAAUCAAUGAAGUUCUGUUGACUGUACUUCACAGAAAUUUCUACUUCCUGCCUUUGAAAAUGAUACAUUUGGAAUGUAUCUAAUUUUGAGUUUAAUCAGAACUUUACAUGUAAUUAAGUUCUACAAUUUAAUUUUUGGAUAAUUACAACCCUAAACACUUCGGUCAACUACAAAAUGUACACCAUCCAAGAUAUGUAAUUUGAGUUUAAUGGGGGAACUUUACACAAACAAUAUAAUUAGAGUCUUAACUUAAUAUAUAUAUGUUAGCACUUAGCAGUGUAAAAGAUCUUGGCUUUUAUACAGUCAAAUUUUUUUUAUCAGAUAUUACAGCAGAUUAGCAUGUAAUGAUUUCUUAAUUACUGCGAUAUUUCAUUAUUCUGUAGUUAGAAAAACUAUCCAUCUCACAUUAUUUAACAAAAUAAACAAUUUGAUGCACUAAGCUUUUAUUGUGUAUAGAAUUUAGGAAAGGACCAUACCACAUGAGUUUCUUUUUGUUACAAAUUGGUCACACCGACAGAUAACAAUAUGAUCCGUGUGGGGUAGUAUUAAUUAUGAAAUGCAGGGAAAGCAGCCAUUUGUUCGUUUCAAAAUGUGAAAAAACUUAAGAUGGUAGAGACGUAACCAACAAAAAUUGCUUGAGAUUGACCGAUACAUUUGUACUCUUUUAUCUCCAUUUUCACAUUUUUAUCUCUCACUCACCACCCCCACCAGUUCCCCUCAUCUGCACCCCUCUUCUUUUUGUCUUUUUUUUUUUUUUUUUUUUUUUUUUUUUUUACUUUUGUCUUUUUUCAUAUAUUUUUUUUUCACCUAAUGUAGUUCUUUAAAAAUUGAAAUGUGGAAGAUAAAAACAAAAUCCAUUUUUUCGUUUGGUAAUUGAGAAAAGGUUAAAACUAAAAGACAACAAAUCACAUAGUAAUGUAGGGUCCAUACCCAUUAUACAUAAAAUAUAAGGAAAGGUAAAUGCAGGAAAGGUUGAAAGAUUUAUUGCUUAUUGUUAAAGUCAACAAAUGCCGCAACAAACCAAAGCUCACCAUUUAUUUUUCAACUAAAAUCUUACCAAAAAAUCUGCAUAUUUGCAUAUUUGCGAAGGUUGAAUUUUUGGUGUUUUUAUGUUGUUACUAGUGACAUCAUUAGGAGUAGAAUUUUUGGUGUUUUUAUGUUGUCACUAGUGACAUCAUUAGGAGUAGAUUUCUCCUAUAAAUAGAGAGUCCUUACUUAUUUCAAAUACACCAAUUCAUAGAGAAAGAAAAAUAUAGAGAGCUGUGAAGUUUUCAUAGACUAUACAAGUCUUCUAUAAAUGGAGCUCAUUAGCUCAUUUAUAGAAUACACCAAUUCACAGAGAAAAAAAAAUAUAGAGAGCUGUGAGGUUUUCAUAGACUAUACAAGAAAAUAGUCUGUGAAGAAAAAUAGAGUGUGAGCGAUAUUUUAGUAAGGUGAAAAUCAAAAGAGUGUUAUUCCUUUUGAGUGUGUAGUAGUCACUUUGAGUAUUGUAUUCGUGACUACACGAUGUAAAAUUCCUUACUAUAGUGAUAUCAGUUGCUCCUCUUGGCCCGUGAUUUUUCCCUUAUUAAAAAGGGUUUCCACGUAAAAUUCUUGGUAUCAUUAUUUUCCCAUUUUAUUUCUAUCAUUUGGCCAUAUAUAUUUUUGUGUCAGUCCGCCUUUUUUCCCAACAAGUAAAGCAUGCACUACAUACAAAGAAAAUAAUGAGGCUGAUACGAUAAAAUAUAAGUUAAUUUAUUUUAUUUGACUUUUUUUCACAAAAAUUUGGAAACUAUCUGAAUAUUAACGAAAAUACUAGAAUUAGAGAUGAUUGAUUAAGCUAAAUUUAAACAAUUUUUAUAUAUACGUACUUAAAAACAAUUUUUAAGUGCUAAAGUUGAAUUUAGAAAUAAAAAGACAAAAAUGUUGAAGUUGAAAUAAUGUAUUUUUUUUUUUUUUAAAAUGUUAAAUAACUUAUUUGUUAAGAUAACUAAAACGUCUGUAAAAAUUUUAAUAUUCAAAAAUAAACUUAUUAUCCAACAUUUUUAGUAGUAUCAAACAAACUCAAAACACAAAUAAUAGUAUUAGUAAACUAAGUCAAAACUCAAAUUAAUGGCAUUUCAUUCACUUUAGAAUAUAAAUUAAUUAGAUGAAAUUAUUUUUAAUAAAUAUAAAUUAUUUAUUUAACUAGCAUGCAGUAAUUAAUAAUCUGACCAAAAAAAUCAAUUUCCCCAUAACUGCUUAUCCAAAAUUAACAAGCAAACUCAUAAAUAAAAAUAAGAAAAAGAAGAGCUUUUUUCUUCCUUUUUGUAUCGAUUUUAUUUUGUAUGGCAAAUCUAUAAAAUAAAAUGAACUAUUUGUACCAUACAUUAAAAAAAAAUCAAUCAAAAAUUCAAUUUUUUAAUUGUAUUUGGAAGUUGAUUUUAUUAAUAGAUAGAAAAAUGAAAAUAAUAAAAAAUAAAAAAGAAGAGAGAUGAGCGGAUAGGGGAACUGCGUGGGGUGGUGAGUAGGAGGUAAAAGAGUGAAAAUGGACCACAAAUUCAAAUAUCAAAAAUUGAGAAAAUGGACCACAAAGGGAAAGGUUGAACAACACUGUGCGUUCCAGACCUGAUCGAGAAAGAGCGUUAAUAGUUGUGUGUGUCGUACGGGAAACCGAGUUCGCACUCCCAUGUUGCCAACACAACAAAAGGGGCUUUACUUUCAGUAACUUCUUUCACUCGUUCUGUCGUCUCAUUUCAGCUUUCAACCUCACAUAACAAUACCUAGUUUUGAAAUACAGUAAAAUCUUACAAAAUUAAUAUUCAGUUAAUUAAUAAUCUCUCUAAAAUAAUAAUUUUCUCCAAUUCCUACUUGGGACAAGGGAAAAAAUUACCAAUCAUUUCAAUAAGAUAAUAUAAUAUAUUUUCAAAAGACCCAUAUAUAAAUAUAUGAUUCCGUAAAAUAUGAUGCCACAUGUUUUUCCUUUGUGCCAAAGAAUAUGGGUCCCGCGUAUUCUUUUGGCUCAAGUAAUUUUGACAUAUAAAUUGCUCAUUACUACACAUAUCAGCCAUGGUACAUUUGGGAAAAUCUUAGUAGCUAAGUUAGUUGACUAUCUGAACGGCUGAACUCACACCUUGCUGGUGAGAGUUCAAUUCCCUAAUUCCCUCCCAAUUCCGCUUUCUCCACCCCAAUUUUUAUUUUUUUUUUGAAAAACCACGGUACAUUUUACUAAUUUUAUUAUCAAUUGUUAAUGUAAAUAAAUAUUUCAAAUAACACUUUACCUAAAGUGAGAAAUCACUUAUUUUCCUUGAAAAUAUUUUCAGAGAAAACAUUUACUUUGUACCAUAUACAAUUGUCUAUACAAAUGAAGUCUUAAUCACUAUAAUUGACAAUAUUCUUAUCUACUUAUAAGAUAGGAUUAGAGUUCCAAAUUUCUAAAGUAUAAAAACCAAAAAAAUGUUUAAACCUAGAAUUGAAUCCUUAACACUCGAAACUCAGAAGUCUAAUCUUAAGAGGGAAGGUGGCAAACUCAAUUCUCUACUUUUGAACCUAAGUUUUAUUGAAUUUUAAUAUGUGAAUACUGAAAAGAGGUGAAAAAUCGAAAUUUAAUGCUUUUUAAGGUGACCUCAAGUUAAUAUACGAUAAUAAUUAAGUUGGUCAACUUUUUUAUUUUGAUAUGUAAUGAAUUUCAUAAUAUCUAUAGUCUGUGCAAAAGUUAUUGGGUUCUCAUGAACACAUAUUUAUUAUCUAGUGGAGAUCAAAAUAACCAUGAGGGAGGAAGGGUAACGGGAACCUAAUUCAUAGUCCAUUCAUUAUGAUCAUGGAUGGACAGAACCAAUUAGAAGUGCAAAUCACACAACCGAAGCUAACUAGGAAGUAGACCCUCAAAGUCUUCCGAAGAAGCAAGCUUCAACGCUCCCCAAGACAGCAGAGCUAUCAUUGUGGGGAGGUUAAAGAGCAUCCAACGCGCCAUGACUAGGACUCGUGUUAGAGGAGAGAUCUGAUAUUAGGUAGAAGGUGUUUAAAGAAAUUGCAAAUGCCAGUCUAAAGCUUCAAAUUUUUGAACAUAUUAUCAGCUCAAGUAUGUUGACAAUCAUAAACGAAGUACACUAUGGUUUUUAAUAUAAAUAAUGGAAUGUAACAUAAAUCAAUUAAUCAAAACAGAUACUAACUAGCUUAUGCAAAAAACAUAGGUAACACCUAAAUCUACUCAUUUAAACAAGGCUUUCAAGUAAUUCAACCUUAGAUAACUAAAGAAUGGUCUCUCUGGGACAUUUAUGCACUUGACAAGCCAACCAAUUGGCCAAGAUGCAGCUGCAAAUCCAAUGCAAAUUCCCCAUUGCCCCCAAUUCAGCCUCUCUGUAUUUGCAAACUUCUUUAGAAACUCCACCAUCACCACUUGGAGAACCAAUGUUAUUCCGAUGAUCGCCAUGAACAACUUGUUCUUGUGUAUUCCCUUAAAGACAUUCUUCUUCUCCAGGUUUCGCGCGUUGAAUUCAUUGAACACUUGGCAAAGAACAAACGUGUUGAAGAUCAACGUAUCGUUUACUCUCUUGCUGACACCAAAGAUUGAUUCUCCUCUGAAUUGUAAGGUCAGUAAAACAGCAAUCUGAUAUAAGGCCUGAGCCA